rnacentral:lncRNA from 1 species
CAUGUGGAUUCUUGAUGUGGUUCUUGAUUAGUUUCUUUCUUGUUUUCUUGUUUUUUUUUCCGAAUUUUAGUGACGCUUCUUGAUCUCUAGUUUUGUUUUGUUGUUAUUUGGACUCUAGAGACGUUCUUGAUUUCUAUGGGUUUUGAUUUUUGUCUGUAUUCUUGAUAUGGUUCCUGGUUACUUGAUUAUUCGUUUCUUAGUAUCUUGUCUUUUUCUUGGAUUUUACUGGCGGUUCUUGAUUUAUACUUUGGUUACAAUGUUCUUUGGAUUCUUGUUUUCGGUUUCGGUUGGUUCUUAUCUAUAGUCUGGUUCUUGGUUAUUUGGUUCAUUAAAAUUCUUUGAGGUUUUGGUGAUUUAUUUUUGUUGCUGGAAUUUGAACCCGAGGGUGACUGCUGACCGAGGAGGAGGAGCUCCGGCUGGCUUGGCAGUGGAUGGCUGUCUCC